CUGGUAGUUAGGAUAGCCUAAUGCCAAUCCCACGCAUGCUUAAACUGUGAGAAAGUGCUAUUAGUGAUCAGUAAUGAUGGCAUAGCGUCACUGCGAGAAGGUGAGUGCUAUAAGUGGUUGUAUGGAUGGUAUAGGCUCACUGCGAGAAGGUAAGUGCUAUAAGUGAUCGGUAUGGAUGGUAUAGGGUCACUGUGAGAACGCAAGUGCUAUAAUUGAUCGGUAUGGCUGGUCUAGGGUCACUGUGAGAAGGUAACAUAGAAACCUCACC